rfam:Lysinibacillus sp. F5 Contig12, whole genome shotgun sequence.
UGAAAAGUUUUCUAGGGUUCCGUAGCUUUUGCUAGUCUGGUCCGAGAGAAAACCACAAAUUAAUUUUGUGACACGGAAGGAUAAAAGCCUGGGAGAU